ACCACAUAUUACUGCCAACCCACUAACAGUACUGAAUAAUUUCAUAAAUUAUGAAAACUACCAUGCUAGAACUAGUAACAAGAAAAUGAAUUUCUCCAAAGUGUAAACAUAGACCAAAACGGACAACCCAUUGGUAAUUAACGACUCUGAACCCAUUAUAGCAAAAUAUCUAGAAAACCCUAUACUUAAUACCGUUAACCUUACACAAGAACUCUUCUGGAAAGAUUAAAAGGAAGAGAAGGAACUCGGCAAAUUUUAACCCCGCCUGUUUACCAAAAACAUCGCCUCUUGCUUAGUUAUAAGAGGUCCCGCCUGCCCAGUGUUUCAAUCAACGGCCGCGUGAUCUAAACGCGCGAAGGUAGCAUAAUAAUUUGUUCUUUAAAUGAGGACUUGUAUCAAUGGCAUCACGAGGGUUAUACUGUCUCCUCUCCCCAAUCAGUGAAACUAAUCUCCCUGUGAAAAAGCAGGAAUAAAAACAUAAGACGAGAAGACCCCAUGGAGCUUAAAACAAGGCAGCAAUUCAAUAACAAAAUCAGAACAAUCUUAAGCCCUGUAUGCCAGUUUUAGGUUGGGGUGACCACGGAGCAAAGCAAAGCCUCCACAACGAGAAGGGAUUAUUCCCUUACCCAAGAGACACGCCUCUAAGAAUUAUUAAAAUAACGUCUAAUGAUCCGACUAUCGACCAAUGGACCAAGUUACCCUGGGGAUAACAGCGCAAUCCACUCUGAG
rnacentral:rRNA from 1 species